GUUGCUUCUUAUGGUGAACGCCCUGUAAAUUUCGAUUGGUUGGGGAUGUUCAAGUUUCCGAAGCAUAGAUUAAAAAUCACACCAGUAUUAAACAGCACCGUGCCUUUUGCACUGUGCUACCUGUCUCCUGGUACAAAU
rfam:Prunus persica cultivar Lovell chromosome G1, whole genome shotgun sequence.